rnacentral:rRNA from 1 species
AACGAACGCUGGCGGCAGGCUUAACACAUGCAAGUCGAGCGCCCCGCAAGGGGAGCGGCAGACGGGUGAGUAACGCGUGGGAAUCUACCUUUUGCUACGGAAUAACGCAGGGAAACUUGUGCUCAUACCGUAUGUGCCCUCCGGGGGAAAGAUUUAUCGGCAAAGGAUGAGCCCGCGUUGGAUUAGCUAGUUGGUGGGGUAAAGGCCUACCAAGGCGACGAUCCAUAGCUGGUCUGAGAGGAUGAUCAGCCACAUUGGGACUGAGACACGGCCCAAACUCCUACGGGAGGCAGCAGUGGGGAAUAUUGGACAAUGGGCGCAAGCCUGAUCCAGCCAUGCCGCGUGAGUGAUGAAGGCCUUAGGGUUGUAAAGCUCUUUCACCGGUGAAGAUAAUGACGGUAACCGGAGAAGAAGCCCCGGCUAACUUCGUGCCAGCAGCCGCGGUAA